UUGACCUCGAAUCAGGUAGGAAUACCCGCUGAACUUAAGCAUAUCAAUAAGCGGAGGAAAAGAAACCAACAGGGAUUGCCCCAGUAACGGCGAGUGAAGCGGCAACAGCUCAAAUUUGAAAUCUGGCCCCUUGGGGCCCGAGUUGUAAUUUGCAGAGGAUACUUUUGGCGAGGCGCCUUCCGAGUUCCGUGGAACGGGACGCCAUAGAGGGUGAGAGCCCCGUCUGGUUGGAUGCCGAGCCUCUGUAAAGUUCCUUCGACGAGUCGAGUAGUUUGGGAAUGCUGCUCUAAAUGGGAGGUAUAUGUCUUCUAAAGCUAAAUAUUGGCCAGAGACCGAUAGCGCACAAGUAGAGUGAUCGAAAGAUGAAAAGCACUUUGGAAAGAGGGUUAAAAAGCACGUGAAAUUGUUGAAAGGGAAGCGCUUGUGACCAGACGUGGGCCUGUCGGAUCAUCCAGCGUUCUCGCUGGUGCACUCCGGCGGGCUCAGGCCAGCAUCAGCUCGUCCCGGGGGACAAAGGCAGCGGGAAUGUGGCUCCUUCGGGAGUGUUAUAGCCCGCUGCGUAAUGCCCUGGGGCGGGCUGAGGUUCGCGCAUCUGCAU
rnacentral:rRNA from 1 species